AAACAGAACCUUGGCUCUGAUACCACUUGUUGGGAAUAAAAGAGACCCGCAAAAAUAAUAUUCACGGUAUUAGUGAUAAACGCGGAACACUAACUUAUGAUUAAAUUAGCAAGAAUAAAAUGCAGCAAUAAUGACACCAAGAUUUUACGUGGAAACCCUUCUGAAUAAGGGAAAAACCACGGCCAAGAGGAGCAGCUGAUAUCACUAUAGCAAGGAAUUUUACACUGUGUAGUAACGAGUAUAAAUACUCCUAAGACCACUACACCCACAAAAGAAAAACACUCUUUUGAUUUUUCCCACCUUACUACAAUAUCACUCACACUCUAUUUUUCUUCACACAAAUGAUUUUGGUGUGUCUUCAAAUGAUAGAAGACUUCCCUAUUUAUAGGGAUGAAAUGAACCUAUUGAUGUCAUUAGUGACUCAAGCAAGCACUUGACAAUUUGCCAAAUACAA